UUGAACGCUGGCGGCAGGCCUAACACAUGCAAGUCGAGCGGAUGAAGGGAGCUUGCUCCUGGAUUCAGCGGCGGACGGGUGAGUAAUGCCUAGGAAUCUGCCUGGUAGUGGGGGAUAACGUCCGGAAACGGGCGCUAAUACCGCAUACGUCCUGAGGGAGAAAGUGGGGGAUCUUCGGACCUCACGCUAUCAGAUGAGCCUAGGUCGGAUUAGCUAGUUGGUGGGGUAAAGGCCUACCAAGGCGACGAUCCGUAACUGGUCUGAGAGGAUGAUCGGUCACACUGGAACUGAGACACGGUCCAGACUCCUACGGGAGGCAGCAGUGGGGAAUAUUGGACAAUGGGCGAAAGCCUGAUCCAGCCAUGCCGCGUGUGUGAAGAAGGUCUUCGGAUUGUAAAGCACUUUAAGUUGGGAGGAAGGGCAGUAAGUUAAUACCUUGCUGUUUUGACGUUACCAACAGAAUAAGCACCGGCUAACUUCGUG
rnacentral:rRNA from 1 species